rnacentral:rRNA from 1 species
GACGAACGCUGGCGGCGUGCUUAACACAUGCAAGUCGAACGGAAAGGCCCUGCUUUUGUGGGGUGCUCGAGUGGCGAACGUGUGAGUAACACGUGAGUAACCUGCCCUUGACUUUGUGAUAACUUCAGGAAACUGGUGCUAAUACCGGAUAGGAGCUCCUUCUGCAUGGUGGUGGUUGGAAAGUUUCGGCGGUUGGGGAUGGACUCGCGGCUUAUCAGCUUGUUGGUGGGGUAGUUGCUUACCAAGGCUUUGACGGGUAGCCGGCCUGAGAGGGUGACCGGCCAAAUUGGGACUGAGAGACGGACCAGACUGCUACGGGAGGCAGCAGUGGGGAAUAUUGCACAAUGGGCGGAAGCCUGAUGCAGCAACGCCGCGUGCGGGAUGACGGCCUUCGGGUUGUAAACCGCUUUCGCCUGUGACGAAGCGUGAGUGACGGUAAUGGGUAAAGAAGCACCGGCUAACUACGUG